rnacentral:rRNA from 1 species
UAAUACGUAGGGUGCGAGCGUUAAUCGGAAUUACUGGGCGUAAAGGGUGCGCAGGCGGUUAUGUAAGUCAGAUGUGAAAUCCCCGGGCUUAACCUGGGAAUUGCGUUUGAAACUACAUGACUAGAGUGUAACAGAGGGAAGUGGAAUUCCAUGUGUAGCAGUGAAAUGCGUAGAGAUAUGGAGGAACAUCGAUGGCGAAGGCAGCUUCCUGGGUUAACACUGACGCUCAUGCACGAAAGCGUGGGGAGCAAACAGGAUUAGAUACCCUGGUAGUCCACGCCCUAAACUAUGUCAACUAGUUGUCGGAUCUUAACAGAUUUGGUAACGUAGCUAACGCGUGAAGUUGACCGCCUGGGGAGUACGGUCGCAAGAUUAAAACUCAAAUGAAUUGACGG